AUUUUAUUGUGUGCUAGGAUGAAGGAUUUGAUGUUCAAACGUCUGGCUACGGCUUGAUGGCCACAUACCAUGCCAAGAAUGAGUACUGCCUUUUUUCCGAUAUGCGCCAAGGCUACCAGGUGUUUGUCAGCAUUAUCUCUCAACUAGAGGACUGAGAAUCAGCAAAGAGAAAAGAAGAAAACUAGAAGACUGAGAAUAACAAGUUGCAAUGAUACUACCAAAUCAAACCAAAAAUGAGUACUGCCUUUUUUUCUGAUAUGUGCCAAGGCUACCGGGUGUUUGUUAGCACUACGUCUCGAGUCUUGACUAGAAGAAUGAGAAUCGAGGGGAAAAUAAAGGGAAGUGAAAAGAAAGUAGAAGAUUGAGAAUAAUGAGAAAUUGCAAAUGAUACUUACCGAACCAUGGCUGAUAAGUAUUGUU